CAGCAGCCACGGUAAUACGUAGGGUCCGAGCGUUGUCCGGAAUUACUGGGCGUAAAGAGCUCGUAGGUGGUUUGUCGCGUUGUUCGUGAAAACUCACAACUCAAUUGUGGGCGUGCGGGCGAUACGGGCAGACUGGAGUACUGCAGGGGAGACUGGAAUUCCUGGUGUAGCGGUGGAAUGCGCAGAUAUCAGGAGGAACACCGGUGGCGAAGGCGGGUCUCUGGGCAGUAACUGACGCUGAGGAGCGAAAGCGUGGGGAGCGAACAGGAUUAGAUACCCCAGUAGUCCCUGUCUCUUAUAC
rnacentral:rRNA from 1 species